rnacentral:lncRNA from 1 species
AUAUCAAACCAUAUAGGUUUUUCUUGAAAAUUUUAAAUAAAUUCUCAAAUUCUCAUCUAGGUUUUAUUCUUUAACCUUUAUUCUAAUCAUUCAAGAUUUUAGAAACUUUUCGGGUUGUCACAUUCACCCCUUCUUCUAAGAAUUUCGUCCUCGAAAUUAAAGCAUCCUAAUCUCUGCUCAUUCUCUUGAUCAAAACUAGGUUUUCAAUUUAACCUUUACAAUUUCCUCAUUCGAGGAUUUCUCAUCUAUUAUCACAUUUCACCAUAACUACUCACUAGGAGUUUACAUCUUCUAAACAUUCAUCAAAACUAGGUUGUCAUAAUAACCUUUAUUUAAUCAUCUCAGAUUCUACUCGUACGCAACGAGUUUACACUAUUUCAUAUCCAUCAUCACAUUCUACCACAACAUUACUUUGAAGAGUUAAAAAAAACUUUUCAUAUCUGUCUGAGGGAUCAUAAAAAUUAUGAACUUUGAACUCCGAGGUUUAGGGGUAUUUCUACCUGCUACCUCUUUCAAUUAAGAAAGAAAGGUACUCUACCUCUUAAACAUUUCUUUAAUAGGUAUGUUUACAAUCACGAAGAAGGUAAACUACCGAUUCUGGUACUUUAGAUGAUCAGUCUAUUGUACCUUAGUAAUCCGAACGACUAUAUGCGUCCUUAAAUUGGAAUAUUCUAUCCAAUUAGUAUAUCCCCAUUUUCAGGGUUGUUCACCUCAGACUUAGUAUAGGAUUCCGCACCAAAACAAUUUGGUUCGGGAAAUUUCUUUCAAUGAACACUUAGAGUUUUCAUAAACAUUAGUCUAGCUGAAUCGAAUAGCAUAGACUCAUAUCGAUAAUUCAGUUCAAUAGAAUUAUUUAAGUAUAGCCAAACCCCGUUGGCAAAUUAAAAUUUUGAAAACAUUUUUCGAGAAUGACGUCAUGAUGCCGCACUGUAUUUACAGUCCGUUGAGGAUUCCGUCAUUUGGUGAUUUUAUCAUACUACAUCAUACCAUAGUGGGUUGACGAUCCUGAGAUCACAUCCAACACUAAGUAAUACUGCAUUGAUGACUCCAUCAUUUUUUUAUCAUCUCUGCACCAGGUUGCAUGGUACAUAAGUGAUAAAUAAAAACAACUUUUGAUACUUCAAAUCAUUCGCGUCUAGCCGAAAUAAGUAGCAUAGACUGUACUUUAAAUCGUUUCAAAAAUCUUUGCAAAUCAGUUUUAUCAUCUCAACAGGUAACGAGGUGUCGAUGGCCCGAAGUCCACGCAUACACAAUAAUCACCAGGAGUUGAGAAUAAAAAUUCAUUUUUCAAAAGCACAUAGUGCGUAUUUAGCUUGAUGUCAAAAACUUCGAAGUCUAGCAUAGCUAGAAGAUUUGGAAUACCUAUGCUUCCAUCAUCAACUUCACUUUUUCUACUGAUCCAUUACUUAAUAGAUCUAUCUAUUCUUAUAAUCCUCAAUGCUCCAUUCACCACUUUGCUAUACCCCAGUUCAUCAAACUUACCACACAUUAUGAGUUCAGGAACUUGCCACAAUCAUAUGAGUUUAAGAACUUAUCCUAGUCAGACCAUAGGCGUCCAUUCGCUGAGGGGUUCAAAACAUACCAUAUGAUUAUGAGUCAUGAACUUACCAUAAGUAUGAGUUUUAAGAACUCGCAACUUAACCUUAUAUCCUCUACCUAUUCGUUAUACACAUGAGAAAAGAAUCACCUUCUCAACAUGCAUAUAACAAAUAGCGCGACAUAAACAUUUCAAUGAUUAUCAGUGCCAGAAACUAAGUGGUUUUUACACCAAGUACAAUUCAGCUCCCAUACGAAGAAUUAUACACUCAGCUGCCGACAUGAGUCCUCAAUUGAAUCCCCACCUAACACUAACCCCAUUCUCCAUACGAAUUUAAUUCGUAUUUAUAAUUCUCUUCUGGAUCUGUACCAAUUUAUAGUACAAUUCAUACACAGCAAUCUUGCUGUAAACUUUUCAUCAUUCUCUUGAUCUUUCUUCAUACCAUAAUCUUAUCAGAUCACGGAGUGAUCUCAUCGUAUAUAUUACGAUUCAUUGCUAUUCUGUGAUCGUUUUGUUUUACGAUCUCUCAUCCUUACACUUGUAAUCUCUUAGACUCUAUCUAUCCACUUCCUAUACUUGGUACACAUCGAGUCUCUAACAGUUUUCAAUAUGGUACGCUGAGUGGUUUCCCACAAACAACCAACAAACUAGGUUCCGAGUUGCUAGUUCGUAUAUACCUCCGCUCUAUGAAGGAAUCGUUUAGCCCAGAUACCAUACAUCAACUAGUUUCGAGUACAAUGGUACCAUACUUAAACCUAACUUUUUGACCCUGCGAGAUUCUUCAACUAACUCUAUGUGAGUUAGUACUUAUCCUAAUCACUGCGGUUAUUGGUCUCAGGUAUUGCUACCUAAGCUUCAUAACCAACAGCUUUGAUACCAACUGUAGCAUCCCCGAAUCCGGGUCCCGAAUCGCCGCGGAUCCGGUUCGCUAUUUCUACAACUGUUUGCGGAAGAUAUAAACAUAGAUUGUUUAUACAUUAAACUUUACACACAUUUCCCCAGAAUCGAGUAACCUUCACUUAUACACAAUCAUGAACUAUCUAGCACAUGACAAUACUAUUCUUCAACAUACUUUACAACUUAACUUCACAUUCUGUACCAAGCUGAACUUGGCAUUAUCCUUUUUCUGUAUCUGGCCGUAUUCGCCUUAUCUGCAAUGUUUUAUCAUGAUAUAGCAAGGGUGAGCAUGAAAGUUGCCCAGCAAGUUUAAAAAAAACAAGGUAAAGAUAUAUCAUGAUUGAAAGAGUUUGAAUAAUAAGCUGGCUAUCCUUCACAAUGUAGUUGUGAAUUAGCAUGAACAAAAUUUCAAAGCUGAAUGAACAUUGAAAAUGAACAUAACAAUUAUAUCUGAACUGACUGGUAAUGAAGGUGAUCAGCCUUUCAUACCUGAUGAAUACAUGCAAUAUGUACAGAGUACAAUUCAUAAGCAUAUCUGUCUGAAACCACUCUUAAAAGAGUUUAAGUAAAAAGAACUUGAAAAACUUGCCUGAACCGUUGAUUACCGUAACGCAAUAUAAUACGCUUCUCCUGAAGACCUAAUAUUAAUAAUAUAGAUCUCCAAUAUUAGAAUAAUAUCAUCACCGUUAUAAAAUAACUUAAACACAUAAUCCUAUCAGUCUAUACAGCAUAUAAAACCUAUAAUAGAUCUUUCGGUUAGUCAUAACAUAUAGUUAAGUAUUAGACAUUAGUUUUAAGUCUUAAUAUUAUUAUUAUACUUUGAUAUUCUUUUAAUCACAUCAUAACUUAUACUUAUAAGUUAUUCAUUUUUAUAUGUUAUCCUAGUAAAUUAGAUAACAUCUUAGUAAACCGAAAUACCAUUUCAGUAAGACGGAUUUUAUUUCAGUAUCCCGAAAUCACUAUUCUUUUUCACGAAAAAUACCAAAUCAACUUAUUAUUUUUUUAUCCUUUGGUCAAACAUAUAUACAUGUAUUUCAUACAUAAAAAAUAUUUUUCCGUAAUUUUUCAAUUUCUUUUACUAUUUUUCAAAAAUCAUAAUUAGUGCGUGACUUAAGAAAAUUAGCUACCUCGUGCUUAACUCCAGAGAUGCCCAUCUUUUGACAUAACCUUAUAUAUGUUAACGUGAUGCUCCAUUUUAAAUUUCGUGGCAAUCGGAGUUGUAGAACUCCGGUUAUAGCGAUUUCCGUCGGAAAAUCACAAAAAUUGAAAUGGUCAUAACUUGGUCGUUUUAAGCCGGAAUUAGCUCAUUUUUGGACACGAGCUACAUAUUACCAUAUAUUUUCAUUUCCCAAAAGCCUGUAAUUUUUCUCAUUAACUAAAUGUCCAAAACAGCCCUCGGAAAAUUUUGGCCAGAAACUUUUUGCACUUUGGCAGUUUUGGAGUCCUUCACCAAAACUUAAAUAAAACGAAAUCUGUAACUCCGAUUAAUGAUCCGUCAAUUUUGUUGGAUUCGUAUCUUUCCGAACUACAGUUUUCAUAUAUCACAAUCCAUAUUUGGAUAUGUUUAGCUCCCGGAAUUUAGCCCGGAAGUGACUGUUCCAAAACUGUCCUUUUCACAGUUUUCUUAACUUUGUGUAGUUUGGGAGAAAUCCCAUAACUCCCUCCUCCGAUGUCGGAUUUAGUCCGUUUUGGAGUCUAUGGAAAGCUUAUUGAGUGUACUAUAACAUAUCACAAGUCCAGAAUUUUUAGAGCACUCUAACAAAUCCGAAAUUUUCUGUUUUAGGGCAGCAGUCCACUAACUCAUUUAAAACAAAAAAAACUGUUUUGGUUAUUCUUCUUUGUUCAAGCCUAUCAACCCUAAAAAUGGCAAGAUCUAACCAUAAAAUAUCAUUUAUCAUGUAGAUCUAUAGUUCUCAUGUUCAAGAUCUUAAACUUAUGGUUCAAAAUCAUAAGUUCAACACUUGAUCUAAAACACCAUAUCAAAACACUUUAACUAACAAGAGUUUUGAGUUUAGGAAAUUUUUACCUUUAGCUUCAUGACAUAUCUUUUUCUUCCAACUAUGUGAUGGAUCUUGGAUGGAAUGAAAAAUCAAAAUCUCUUCUCCUUCUUUCUUGGAGUUUCCUAACUCCCCUCUCCCUCUCUCUCUUGUCUCUCUCUUUCUUUCUUAGUUAUGUUGGAAAAUAAGAUGAGAAAAGUGAAGAAUAUGAUUUUUGUUUAGUGUAAUAAUGUAAGAAAUGUAUCUAGACAUUAGUUUGCUUGAUAAUUGAGGUGUAAUAGCAUAGUAACAUGAGUGACUUCUAGAAGCAAUUGAUUAGCUAGCAUAAUUGAAGAUUCUUAUCAACAAUGUUACUAAUAAUACACUAAUAAAACAAAAGGGUAUACUAGUAAUUUCCACAUUAAUAAAUGAUUUCUUUUUAAUUCUUAUUUAUUAUACCAAAUGUCCAAUAUGUCCCUCCUUAUUUGGGCUUAAAUUUGGGUCACCAUUUCCAUCUUUUGGGCUAUCAAUAAAUAAUAUAUUGGACUUAAAAUUUAAUUCUUUGGGCCAUGUAAAUUAACAUAGUCCAACACUCUUAAUUCUUAUCCAACCCAAAUCAUUUAAUUAGGGUUUUCAUUUUCCUCAAUUAUAACUUAAAUCCUUACUCAUGCACAUUUAUUUCCUUAACCCAAUUAGACUUGCUAAAAUUAGGUUAUAAAAUUAAUUAACUGAGAUGUAUAAAAUAAAUCUCUCAUAAUUGGUAUAUAUUCUAAAUACCAUAAUUUUCUCAUCUCAUAACCCUUAAGUUAUUAAAUUCUUCAUUCCUAAUAUAUAAUUAGGAUCACAUUAGUUUCUUUUAUUUGUUUAUAUAAUAAACAAUAUAAACCAUCACAUAAUCUUCAUAUUCCUUUACUCACCUAUUCGAACAAAAUAAUUUAAUAAAUUGUGACAUGUUCCACAAUUCUCUUAAAUUAGGUCACUAAUAUAAAAAUAAAAUAUUAGGACCACUAAAUAACGAUAACCAUUUAGGUUAUUUAAUUAUCACACCUAAUAUAUAUAUUAGGUUACAUAAUUUAAUUCUUACUUCACUUUUAUAUACAAAAUAAAUGUAUUCACAUUAUAUAAUGUAUAUUUAUUUAAUCAUACACAUAAUUCAUAUUCAUUACACACAUAACUUUUAAUCCCUUAGGGUUUUAUACAAAACAUUAGGAUUUCUAAUUUAACAAUUAGGGUUAUCCCUAAUAUAUAAUCACAAAUACUUAAGCCAUUAUAUUUAGCCUUUGACUUCCCAAAUUAGGGUUUCAAAUACUGAAUUAGGAUUUCGGAUUCCCGGUACUGAAAUUAGGGUUUCCAGAACCGAUUUCUAGGGUUUCUUAUAAAUCGUAAUAAUUUUAUAACUGAACGUUGACGUUCUAAUAAUAUUAGGGUUUGACACAGAUAUAAUUUAUCUGGUCAACACUUGACCCUUAACCACAUUCUGUACACAUAAUACCGUAAUCACAGAAUAUAUACACACAUACCCUUAAUCCUGAAUAAUUCACUAAAAGAAAUUUUAAAUCCUCAAAAUUCCUUUCUGAAAACAUCAAACACAUACACUUAUUCUCUGUCUAGGUCUAUUAUUUGACCUUAAACCAAUCAUUUAAGAUUUUAAUAAUUUUCUAAUUUCUCGGGUUGUCACAUUCACCCCUUCUUCUAAGAAUUUCGUCCUCGAAAUUAAAGCAUCCUAACCUCUGCUCAUUCUCUUGAUCAAAACUAGGUUUUCAAUUUAACCUUUACAAUUUCCUCAUUCGAGGAUUUCUCAUCUAUUAUCACAUUUCACCAUAACUACUCACUAGGAGUUUACAUCUUCUAAACAUUCAUCAAAACUAGGUUGUCAUAAUAACCUUUAUUUAAUCAUCUCAGAUUCUACUCGUACGCAACGAGUUUACACUAUUUCAUAUCCAUCAUCACAUUCUACCACAACAUUACUUUGAAGAGUUAAAAAAAA